UCGUAACAAACAUGCGGGAGGCGCUCAAAGGUUGUCGCCGACUCGAAACGGUCGUGCACGCCGGAGGGCGUCCUCUCGUGUGAAAUCCAUCUCACCCUUUUGUGCACCACCGCGUGGGCCCCCUCCUCGAGGGGGCUCGCGUUUUCACACAUACCCCCUCUGUAAACCUACAUAGAAUGAACACACUUUUUUUUGCGUUGACACGCGAUCAAUA
rnacentral:misc_RNA from 1 species